UUUAAUUUACUUAAUUCUUGUUCGCUUUACUUUUUAUUACAUGAAAAUGAAAAAAAAAUCAUUAUCACCAACUUGCAUAAAAAAUGCACCGUCGUAAAUCAAUGUUGCGUUACUUUUUGCGACAUUGUAGUUUGGUUUGCAUAUAAAUACAGCGAUGGAGAAACGGAUUUUUCAGUUUGAGCUUAAGUUGUACCUAGUAGUUUGUUACUGCAAUUCCAUUCCGCGUCAGUCAUCACAAGCGUACACAGCGAAAAUGAAACUGCAAAAGUUCUUCAUCGGUGCAAUAGUAGUGCUGAUUUCUUUACAGUAUCUUACAACAGCAGAUGAAUUUGAAAAAGAUGGAAAGAAAGCAUGUACUAGUAAAAACGGGACAACAAGUACUAUACGAAACGUUAUUGAUGCAUGCAAGGCAAAAGAUCCCAAAGCUGACGAUAAAAUGCUCGAUAUCUGUUUCUGCGAUGGCUGUUCAGACAAUGUGUCGUGUAACAAUAAAAGCGGAUAAGAUUUAUGUAAAAGAAUGUGAAAAAUAUCAGGACAAGUAAAUGAGUUGAUUGGUGCUCACUACCUACGUCUUGUGAGCAUUUCAUAGGUAUCUACAUAGCUUAUUUAAAAUUUCAGUCAUCUUAAAUACAAAUAUAUUAAUGAUAAUGCGUUACCUAACAUAAUAUGCCUACAGUAUAUCUUAUAAGUACAAAUACAUACAUAUUUAAUUAGU